rnacentral:rRNA from 1 species
AAGAAACUAACAAGGAUUCCCUUAGUAACUGCGAGUGAAGAGGGAAAAGCUCAAAUUUAAAAUCUGGCAGUGUUUCACUGUCCGAGUUGUAACCUAGAGAAGUGUAACCUGCGCUGGACCGUGUAUAAGUCUCCUGGAAUGGAGCAUCACUGAGGGUGAGAAUCCCGUCUUUGACACGGACCACCAGUGCAUUGUGGUUGUGCUCUCAACGAGUCGAGUUGUUUGGGAAUGCAGCUCUAAAUGGGUGGUAAAUUCCAUCUAAAGCUAAAUAUUGGCGAGAGACCGAUAGCGAACAAGUACCGUGAGGGAAAGAUGAAAAGAACUUUGGAAAGAGAGUUAAACAGUAUGUGAAAUUGUUGAAAGGGAAACGUUUGAAGUCAGUCGCGUCGGUUGGGGAUCAGCCUGACAUUGUUGGGUGUACUUCCUGGUUGACGGGCCAACAUCAGUUUUGAUUGCCAGAAAAAGGCCAAAGGAAUGUGGCACCUUUGGGUGUGUUAUAGCCCUUGGUCGUAUAUGGUGGUUGGGACUGAGGAAAGCAGCGUGCCGAAAGGCCGGGUUUCGACCACGUUCACGCUGAGGAUGUUGGCAUAAUGGCUUUAAGCGACCCGUCUUGAAACACGGACCAAGGAGUCUAACAUGCAUGCGAGUGUUUGGGUGGAAAACCCUUACGCGUAAUGAAAGUGAAAGUUGAGAUCCCUGUCGCGGGGAGCAUCGACGCCCGGACCAGAACUUUUGGGACGGAUCUGCGGUAGAGCAUGUAUGUUGGGACCCGAAAGAUGGUGAACUAUGCCUGAAUAGGGUGAAGCCAGAGGAAACUCUGGUGGAGGCUCGUAGCGAUUCUGACGUGCAAAUCGAUCGUCAAAUUUGGGUAUAGGGGCGAAAGACUAAUCGAACCAUCUAGUAGCUGG